rnacentral:rRNA from 1 species
UACGGAGGAUGCGAGCGUUAUCCGGAUUUAUUGGGUUUAAAGGGUGCGUAGGCGGGCUUUUAAGUCAGCGGUAAAAAUUCGGGGCUCAACCACGUCCGGCCGUUGAAACUGGGGGUCUUGAGUGGGCGAGAAGAAGGCGGAAUGCGUGGUGUAGCGGUGAAAUGCAUAGAUAUCACGCAGAACCCCGAUUGCGAAGGCAGCCUUCCGGCGCCCUACUGACGCUGAGGCACGAAAGUGCGGGGAUCGAACAGG